CCUGAUUCCUACAAAUUUUAACAAGCGCCACCUUUGAUGGGAGACUCGCAAGCGCUAAUGAGCUUCUUUGCCGACAGGUGGAGAGAGGGCCUCGGACCCACAGUCAGAGGCACAGUCUGCAGGCUGGGGGAGCAGACGCUAUUUAUAAAGCUUCUCUCCGGGGUCGGUCACCGGCGGUCAAAGCCUGGGAGCUCCUCUGCCCGGGCCACUCCCGAUGCUCUGGGUGUACGCGGAGCCACGGUCCCCUCUCCCUUCGCCAGUGCCCUGAGGCGGAUGGAUCCGGUAUGGAGCUCUCUCAUUAUUCCCAUUUCUUGGCUUGUUGAGAAUGUGUUUCUUCCGUUGUGCAGUGAGGUGUGGCCCCCAUGGGGCCCCUACCCAGUAUUUGUGCGAGGGUGACGCGCUGCAAAAGAGGUGGUUUCUUCUUGAGAUGUCACACAAACUACAGGACUUAAUGAGGCCCAUGUGCCGGGACUAAGAAACGUCGUUUCUUGCCGCAUGUCAUUAGUGAAAGCUCGCCUAUCCAUACAUUGAAAUGGAGACAGAGCUGCCCAUUAGGUGGGGAGCUAAGCGCACUGUGCAGGAAGGUGGGAGUGGGGGGCUUGUGUGGGACUCAGCUUUGCUGGCCUGCUGGAAGCCCCAACGAGCUGCUCCCUGCUCUCUCCUUGCCAGACGGGAGCGGCCACCGACCAGAACCAAGUGGAACUGCAUUAAAGCGAAGAUGCAAGAAAUGAUUGGGCUUAGCAUUCUUUCUCUGCUUGGCUGGAAGCUUCUCAAGAGCCAGGGGGGCUGCCUGAGAUCAGGGACCAUGCCAGCUGGGCAUCUGUUUGCCGCCCAGGACUUACUCUCCUCUGAGAAACAGCUCAUCAAACAUCCUCUGGGAACCUCCUUCUGCAUCAGCCUGGUGCCUCGUGUGGAAUUGACACCUAUGCCCGGCUCCAGUUGUGGAGCUUAAGUUAACCAGCAUCCCUCACCUCCAUUCUCCCUGUCACAGUGAUUGGCUCAGGGCUGACAUGUGACUUAGGUGGGUCCCAUCAGACAGAACCUCAAGGCUUCCCCUGGAAAUGAUGAGCCCUGUCCUUUUUCCCCUGCUGCACAUGUAGACUCCUAGGAUACUGGAAGCCACCCAGGACAGAUGCGGGUGAGGAUUAGAUGCUGGCGAGUCUGGCCAGCAAUGGAGCCAAGCAGAGCUAGGACAUGGAGAGAAAGAAACAAAGUCCUGGCCACAUGAUUUGAGCCCCUGGAUCAAGCAUUGCCUGAAACUAGAGCUCCCUUUAGACGUGUCAGUUACUUGGACGAAUAAAUCCCCUUUAUAUUUAAACCA
rnacentral:lncRNA from 1 species